rnacentral:lncRNA from 1 species
GCCAGGUGCCAGGUGAGGCUCAGACAAGAAAAAGAGCCUGGAGUCCCUGGGACAAAGGCAGGGCUCCCUGGAAAGUACCGUGUGUAUUUUUCCUUCCUCUGGGACACAGCAGGCCUGGGGAUUUCUCCCUUACUCAAGCAGCAAGGAGAUGGCCUAGGAGUGUCCCUGGCACCCAGCCUGAACCCUACUGAGCCUCAGGCGUCCUCAUCCCUUUUCACCUCGGAGCUCAGCGUCUUCCUCAGCAGCACUUCCAUGUCAUCUGCCCCGUGAAAUCAGCCUAACGCCGUUUCUCAAUGACGUGGAUCGCCCUAGGCCACCGCA